UACGUAGGUGACAAGCGUUGUCCGGAUUUACUGGGCGUAAAGAGCGCGCAGGCGGUCGAUCAAGUCGAGUGUGAAAGCCCCCGGCUCAACUGGGGAGGGUCACGCGAUACUGAUCGACUCGAAGGCAGGAGAGGGUAGUGGAAUUCCCGGUGUAGUGGUGAAAUGCGUAGAGAUGUGGAGGAAUACCGAUGGCGAAGGCAGCCUCCUGGGAUAACACUGACGCUGAGGCACGAAAGCGUGGGGAGCAAACAGG
rnacentral:rRNA from 1 species